AUAAAGCUAGAUAACCGAAUGUA
rnacentral:miRNA from 1 species